rnacentral:rRNA from 1 species
GAGUUUGAUCCUGGCUCAGAUUGAACGCUGGCGGCAGGCCUAACACAUGCAAGUCGAGCGGUAACAGAAAGUAGCUUGCUACUUUGCUGACGAGCGGCGGACGGGUGAGUAAUGCUUGGGAACAUGCCUUGAGGUGGGGGACAACAGUUGGAAACGACUGCUAAUACCGCAUAAUGUCUACGGACCAAAGGGGGCUUCGGCUCUCGCCUUUAGAUUGGCCCAAGUGGGAUUAGCUAGUUGGUGAGGUAAUGGCUCACCAAGGCGACGAUCCCUAGCUGGUUUGAGAGGAUGAUCAGCCACACUGGGACUGAGACACGGCCCAGACUCCUACGGGAGGCAGCAGUGGGGAAUAUUGCACAAUGGGCGCAAGCCUGAUGCAGCCAUGCCGCGUGUGUGAAGAAGGCCUUCGGGUUGUAAAGCACUUUCAGUCAGGAGGAAAGGUUAACGGUUAAUACCCGUUAGCUGUGACGUUACUGACAGAAGAAGCACCGGCUAACUCCGUGCCAGCAGCCGCGGUAAUACGGAGGGUGCGAGCGUUAAUCGGAAUUACUGGGCGUAAAGCGUACGCAGGCGGUUUGUUAAGCGAGAUGUGAAAGCCCCGGGCUCAACCUGGGAACUGCAUUUCGAACUGGCAAACUAGAGUGUGAUAGAGGGUGGUAGAAUUUCAGGUGUAGCGGUGAAAUGCGUAGAGAUCUGAAGGAAUACCGAUGGCGAAGGCAGCCACCUGGGUCAACACUGACGCUCAUGUACGAAAGCGUGGGGGAGCAAACGGGAUUAGAUACCCCGGUAG